CUGCAACUCGACUGCAUGAAGCUGGAAUCGCUAGUAAUCGCGGAUCAGAAUGCCGCGGUGAAUACGUUCCCGGGUCUUGUACACACCGCCCGUCACACCAUGGGAGUCGGAUAUGCCCGAAGUCAGUGACCCAACCGCAAGGAGGGAGCUGCCGAAGGUGGAGCCGAUGACUGGGGUGAAGUCGUAACAAGGUACC
rnacentral:rRNA from 1 species